rnacentral:misc_RNA from 1 species
CAGAGUUUCCGAACUCCCAAACCUUUGUGAACAUACCACUGUUGCUUCGGCGGGAUCGUCCCGGGCACGCCGUCCGCGGCGUGAUCCGGAGCCAGGCGCCCGCCGAGGGUAUCAAACUCUUGUCUUUACAGCGGACUUCUGAGUACAAAAAGAAAUAAAUCA